UGCCAUUACAGAGGGUGGGGAGGACAGAGGUGAGGAGUAAUUUGGUGUGUGUGUGUGUGUGUGUGUGUGGAGAGAGGAAAGGAGAGAGGUGAGAUGGGCUGGGAAGAGCUGAACUUACUUGGUAGGAGGCAUGUGACGUCGUGUUCAAGAUCAUAGUAGCUGCAGCACUGUCUGUGAAACAUAGCACCGGGCUGUCAACAACGGAAAUGUUGAAUGAAUGUUUCCGGUAAUUUUGUCCAGUUAUUGGGGGAUUUGUUUCGAAGUAUAAGAUAAUACGGUCUUUUCGUUUCGUCCUCCGAAAUUAGAAUCCACACGCUCUGACAUGUAUCCACGCAGCCAACAAACUACACAUCUCGCACAUUUAUGCACAUAUGCUUAUUACGGAUACUUGAGUUGUAAUACCUGCGUGGCAUCGAUUAUCGAAAUCAGCGCGGUGGAGGAUUUGUGGGAUAUCUGCGCUUUGUAACUGCUGAAGGUCGUAAACACCAGGGCAGCGGCUCAGUUCGUAGUGGUGCUCCGGGCAGUUACAAACAACUGCACGGUCGUAGCGUUACUGAGUGUGGGGUUCUGCAUGGCGAGGAUCAGCAACAUGGGAAACGAGAAUCAGUGGGCUGGACCUAUUCUGCAACGCUCUGUGGAUAAUCAUACACUGGCCCCAAGCCGCUCAGUCGCGGAGACCUGGGACACGCAGUGGACAUUCCACGGAAACAAAGCGAUUAAUGUGCCAAGUCUGCCAGUGGACAUGACCGAAACUGAAGUCGUUGCCCUGUUCUCAUCGCUGGCGGUGAAGUCUGUGCUUCCUCGAGACGACGACGCUUCUGCUUCAUUUUCGGAAGCACAUCCGCUUGCUUCUGACUGUUACCAUGUUGCGGAUUCUUACGCAAAACGAGAACUCUCUGAUAGCUGUAUUGAUGUACUGUGUGGCGUCGACUUGGCCCUUCAGGGUGAAUCGGGCGAAGUCUGUGAUCCUACAGUCAGACAGGAAACAGGGAUCACGUCUUCAGGCGGAAAUAGCUGCGGUUGUCAGUCGACCGGAUGGGGGACCCCUCCUGACCGAAACGACAGCAGUAGUUCCUUCAGUUUUGAAUCUUACAGCGGCAGCGAACAGUGGGCAGCAACGAGAUCAGCGGUAAUAAAUUAUUGGCCUGUGGAUUACGAACACAAGUCAGUUGUCUGUUGCGUAGAGAGCUCGUCAGUCCCUGAUACAGAGUAUAAUCGCGAGUUAAACCAGCGUGCUUGUGGGGACUGGAGUAGCCGUGGUGGUCGAACGUGCUCUAUCAAAACCGUAGAGGUCUUGACAGCGGCUCAGAAAAAUAAUCGCGGUGAACAAUGUCAGACAUGUUACGAGAGACAGUUGGAACUUGCAGCCAUCGAUAACGACGUUAAGAACGCGUCAUCAGAAUUUAAGCUUUUUGGUAGUGAAGCACGUACUCGAUGGUUUCCUAGAAGUCACACAGUAGAAAGUUGUGGCGGAAUGGUUGAUUAUGGGAGUUAGUCAGCAGACAGUACCGGGCUAGUGUCAUUGGUGAGUGCAAGAACUCACCCUAUUUAGUAGUGUAGUGUCAAGAAAUAGAAAAUGGCGCUAACAGUCGUAGUAGAUUCCAGAAGAAUGUUAGUAACUUCAGUGUUACACUUACACGCUGGAAUAGUUGCAUGUUAAACUUUCGCAAAUUAGUCUUGCAGAGAUUUCACAUUCGAUCAAUUUCUGCAAAUUUUUUUAAAUAAGCGUUACCGAGCAUGCGUAAUAUUUCAGCUCAAAUUGUCACGCGAAUGUUCCACACAAGUGGAAUUUUUUACUCAGAUUGGAAUAUUCAUGGUAUGGGACAUACCAUUAACGUGAUUUCAUUAUUGUACAUAAGGAAAUAUGCAUUAUGUACAGAAAGUUAUUUAAUUUGAAUUUGGAAGUCAGAAACACACGUCGUUGAUAUGCUGUAACAUUAGACCGUUUUUCCACAAGGCCGUUCUGUACACACAAACUUGAACUCACAGCGUGUAAGAUUUUACACGAAGGGGGCAUAAAUAAUUCAUGCUGGUUGAUUGCAUUGUCUACACUUAGGACUCAAAUGUAAGGACGAUUUACUUCUGUGUAGAGUGGGGCUGCCCAGUGCCGACGGCUUCAAGAACAGCAGUUACAAGCAUGGGCAAAAUCUGACUUACAUGCUAGAAACCGUCUCUUAACUAGAAACCAUCAUUAGCUUGCAUAUAAUUACAUCGUAUGUAGCUUGAUGUAGGAUAAAUCAUUCUCGUGUUCAUAUACAAAUCCACUUACGAAUUUACCUGGUUAUGAAUGAACAUUCACGAUAAGCAGCUUGUGUGUUCUUUAGUCAUCCUCCCAGACCCAUCACAAUGUUGCAUGCAUAUGCAGUGUUUCCUAAUUAUAUUAGUGUUAAGCCAAUUGUCAAAUAUGGGGUAAGAUUCUUUUCCUUGUAUCACGUCGCUGUCUGGACUUUAUAUACAGUCAGUGCGAAAUAAACGUGCCAUACAUAUAAAUUGAGUUAAAGUGAUAAAUUUUCCAGAGUGCCCCGGAGUCGGCCACAUGAACAGUACUAAAAUUUCCUCUCUUCGUAGGAGUCAGCUUUACCCCCUGUUACACGGGUUUAAUAGGUGUGCUAAAGAGGAACAGCUUUCGAACUGUGUUAGCCUACCAGAUUGAUUCACAUACGUACAAGGUUACCUCCUGACCGUGCUGGUCAUCAGUUGUUUUUACUUUCAGUUAAAGAGGAAGAUACUGACAAAACUUCAGAGACAGUGUCUAAUUCUCACGCUGAUUUCAUGUACCCGUAUGUGUGUUUUUGUUUUGUUUUCUAAAGUGAUGGAAUAAUACGAGAAGUAUACUUUAGAAGCGGUUUGUUAACAUAACAAACUACACUGUAAUCGUACUGUUUCGGAUUUGUCACAGUUUACGAAAGAAAUAAAAUGUUUUUGGCAUUUA